rnacentral:rRNA from 1 species
AGAGUUUGAUCAUGGCUCAGAUUGAACGCUGGCGGCAGGCCUAACACAUGCAAGUCGAGCGGGGUUUUCGGACCUAGCGGCGGACGGGUGAGUAAUGCGUAGGAAGCUACCCGAUAGAGGGGGAUACCAGUUGGAAACGACUGUUAAUACCGCAUAAUGUCUACGGACCAAAGUGUGGGACCUUCGGGCCACAUGCUAUCGGAUGCGCCUACGUGGGAUUAGCUAGUUGGUGAGGUAAUGGCUCACCAAGGCGACGAUCUCUAGCUGGUUUGAGAGGAUGAUCAGCCACACUGGAACUGAGACACGGUCCAGACUCCUACGGGAGGCAGCAGUGGGGAAUAUUGGACAAUGGGCGCAAGCCUGAUCCAGCCAUGCCGCGUGUGUGAAGAAGGCCUUCGGGUUGUAAAGCACUUUCAGCGAGGAGGAAGGGUGGUGUGUUAAUAGCACAUCAUUUUGACGUUACUCGCAGAAGAAGCACCGGCUAACUCUGUGCCAGCAGCCGCGGUAAUACAGAGGGUGCAAGCGUUAAUCGGAAUUACUGGGCGUAAAGCGCACGUAGGCGGUUUUUUAAGUCAGAUGUGAAAGCCCCGGGCUCAACCUGGGAAUUGCAUUUGAAACUGGAAAACUAGAGUGUGUGAGAGGGGGGUAGAAUUCCAAGUGUAGCGGUGAAAUGCGUAGAGAUUUGGAGGAAUACCAGUGGCGAAGGCGGCCCCCUGGCACAACACUGACGCUCAGGUGCGAAAGCGUGGGGAGCAAACAGGAUUAGAUACCCUGGUAGUCCACGCCGUAAACGAUGUCUACUAGCUGUUCGUGGUCUUGUACUGUGAGUAGCGCAGCUAACGCACUAAGUAGACCGCCUGGGGAGUACGGUCGCAAGAUUAAAACUCAAAUGAAUUGACGGGGGCCCGCACAAGCGGUGGAGCAUGUGGUUUAAUUCGACGCAACGCGAAGAACCUUACCUACUCUUGACAUCUA